AGGAAGUUAGUUUAAUAAAAACAUUUGAUUUCGGCUCAAAAGCUUCUGGUUAGACUCCAUAACUUCCUU
rnacentral:tRNA from 2 species